UUAGUAACCUUGGUUGCUGCACAAAACGAACAGAACCAAAACUCUCUCAAAAUAACUCAUUUCCAUCAUUCUUAAAAAUAUGCCAAAAACUCAAAGUAACUAGAGCAAGCUUCUUUGGUUUUCAUCAUUCACACAACAUUACGGACCUGCUGUAACCAUUCUCCUCCAUCUGUAGCAGCCUUUACAUAACUGUUUUCUUCAAGGCACCAUUAAUGGCAGAAGCUAUUUAGAACCAAACCAAGUUGUUUCAAGCAAAAAGUCCUUCACUCAUUCUUCAUUUUGG
rnacentral:lncRNA from 1 species